AUACGGAGGAUGCGAGCGUUAUCCGGAUUUAUUGGGUUUAAAGGGAGCGUAGGUGGGAUAUUAAGUCAGCUGUGAAAGUUUGGGGCUCAACCUUAAAAUUGCAGUUGAUACUGGUUUCCUUGAGUACGGUACAGGUGGGCGGAAUUCGUGGUGUAGCGGUGAAAUGCUUGAUAUCACGAAGAACUCCGAUCGCGAAGGCAGCUAACCGGGCCGGAACUGACACUGAUGCUCGAAAGUGCGGGUAUCAAACAGGAUUAGAUACCCUGGUAGUCCGCACAGUAAACGAUGAAUACUCGCUGUUUGCGAUACACUGUAAGCGGCCAAGCGAAAGCGUUAAGUAUUCCACCUGGGGAGUACGCCGGCAACGGUGAAACUCAAAUGAAUUGGCGGGG
rnacentral:rRNA from 1 species